rnacentral:rRNA from 1 species
UACGAAGGGGCUAGCGUUGUUCGGAUUCAUUGGGCGUAAAGGGUGCGUAGGCGGCGCGGUAAGUCGGGUGUGAAAUCUUGGAGCUUAACUCCGAAACUGCAUUCGAUACUGCCGUGCUUGAGGACUGGAGAGGAGACUGGAAUUUACGGUGUAGCGGUGAAAUGCGUAGAUAUCGGGAGGAACACCUGUGGCGAAGGCGGCCCCUGGUUGGAUACGUGACCGCUGAGACGCGAAAGCGUGGGGAGCAACAGGGAUAAGA